rnacentral:rRNA from 1 species
GAUGAACGCUGGCGGCGUGCCUAAUACAUGCAAGUCGAGCGAACAGACGAGGAGCUUGCUCCUUUGACGUUAGCGGCGGACGGGUGAGUAACACGUGGAUAACCUACCUAUAAGACUGGGAUAACUCCGGGAAACCGGAGCUAAUACCGGAUAAUAUUUUGAACCGCAUGGUUCAAUAGUGAAAGACGGUUUUGCUGUCACUUCUAGAUGGAUCCGCGCCGCAUUAGCUAGUUGGUAAGGUAACGGCUUACCAAGGCAACGAUGCGUAGCCGACCUGAGAGGGUGAUCGGCCACACUGGAACUGAGACACGGUCCAGACUCCUACGGGAGGCAGCAGUAGGGAAUCUUCCGCAAUGGGCGAAAGCCUGACGGAGCAACGCCGCGUGAGUGAUGAAGGUCUUCGGAUCGUAAAACUCUGUUAUUAGGGAAGAACAAAUGUGUAAGUAACUGUGCACGUCUUGACGGUACCUAAUCAGAAAGCCACGGCUAACUACGUG